rnacentral:rRNA from 1 species
AGCCCAAAACUAGCCCAACCAUAUACCACAACUCGACAGACUAAAAACAGCUCUUGCCAUUAAACUAAAACAUUCUCAUCAACCUAGUAUUGGCGAUAGAAAAGACAAACCUGGCGCAAUAGAGAACACGUACCGUAAGGGAAAGCUGAAAUAGCAAUGAAACCAAAGCAUCAAACAGCAAAGAUAAACCCUUGUACCUCUUGCAUCAUGAUUUAGCAAGAACAACCAAGCAAAGCGGACUUAAGCUUGCCAUCCCGAAACCCAAGCGAGCUACUUACAAGCAGCUACCUGAGCGAACCCGUCUCUGUUGCAAAAGAGUGGGACGACUUGUCAGUAGAGGUGAAAAGCCAACCGAGCUGGGUGAUAGCUGGUUGCCUGUGAACCGAAUUUAAGUUCUCUCUUAACUCUACUCCACGGACAACAUACCCAACCCCCAUGUAGCGAGCUAAGAGCUAUUUAAAGGAGGUACAGCUCCCUUAAAAAAGAAUACAACCUCCACUAGCGGAUAAACUAACAACCCCACAUUCCAACACAUGUAGGCCUUAAAGCAGCCAUCAACAAAGAAUGCGUCAAAGCUCCUCAGUCAAAAAUCUAAAAACAACCUCACUCCCUUACCCCAAACAGGCUAAUCUAUCAAAAUAGAAGAACUAAUGCUAAAAUGAGUAACUAGGACCACUCCUCUCCAAGCGCAAACUUACAUCCCACACAUUAUUAACAGACCUUGACUAAUACUACCAACCCAACAAGACUUCAUAUUAAACCCACCACUGUUACCCCAACUCAGGAGCGCUCUAUGAGAAAGAUUAAAAUCUGUAAAAGGAACUAGGCAAACCAAGGGCCCGACUGUUUACCAAAAACAUAGCCUUCAGCCAACUAAAAUAAGUAUUGAAGGUGAAGCCUGCCCAGUGACACUAUGUUCAACGGCCGCGGUAUCCUAACCGUGCGAAGGUAGCACAACCAAUUGUCUCAUAAAUCGAGACCUGUAUGAAUGGCCAAACGAGGUCCUAACUGUCUCUUGCAGAUAAUCAGUGAAAUUGAUCUCCCUGUGCAAAAGCAGGAAUAACUUCAUAAGACGAGAAGACCCUGUGGAACUUAAAAAUCAACAGCCACUCCAUGCAUAUAAAAGCCUACCAGGCUCACUGCCACAGACACUGGUCUGUAUUUUUCGGUUGGGGCAACCUUGGAGAAAAACGAAUCCUCCAAAACCAAGACCACCACUCUUGACUAAGAGCGACCCCUCAACGUACUAACAGUAAUCAGACCCAAUAUAAUUGAUCAAUGGACCAAGCUACCCCAGGGAUAACAGCGCAAUCUCCUUCAAGAGCCCAUAUCGACAAGGAGGUUUACGACCUCGAUGUUGGAUCAGGACAUCCUAAUGGUGCAGACGCUAUUAAGGGUUCGUUUGUUCAACGACUAACAGUCCUACGUGAUCUGAGUUCAGACCGGAGCAAUCCAGGUCGGUUUCUAUCUAUGCACAUACCCUUCCUAGUACGAAAGGACCGGAAGAGUGGGGCCCAUGCCUAAAGCACGCCUCCCCUCUAAGUAAUGAAUCCAACUAAAUGCGAAAGAGGACUAACACAACCCCGUCCUAGAAAAGGACCG